rnacentral:snoRNA from 1 species
AAGACUAUACUUUUAGGGAUCAUUUUUAUAGUUCUUUACUAGAGUUUGGUAGGCUUACCUGCAGCCACAAGGGUACAAUCAGUGUUUAGUUGGCCC